UUUAUUAAAUCACGGUUAAAAUGUCGAUAUAUAUAUUAGAAUUAUAACAAUUUCAGCACAUACAUAUGUGAGAGAUACUGUAUUACAUGUAAUCCUGUUACAUCCCUCGUUGGUUGCGAGGUGUGCACAGUAAUCUCUUUGGUUAAACAGAACACAUGUUCCGAAUGUGUAGUGUAUAAAUGCGAAGACAAUAUUAUAUUAAAAUUAAUAUUAUGUGAAGGAAAAUUUCCAUAAUGACCAUUAUUUAUAAUAAUUAUCAAACUGUCCGAAAUAAUCGAUUAAUUAGAUCAACAAAAAAUAGCGUUCCGCCAUUUUUAUUAUUAUUAGUAUUAUAUAUUUAUCAAGUAUACAUACUGCUCAUAAAACUUUGGGUAUACAAUGUUUCAUAGUAAAUUUCAAAUGAGAUUUUAUUUUUCUACAAUAGGUACUUCUGCAAUAUAUCUGUUAAUGCACAAUUUUUGUUAUCUCUGUUUAUUU
rnacentral:misc_RNA from 1 species